AGCAUUUAGUUUGGUAGAGUGGGGGUUAAUUUAAGCCUAGCAUUUAGUUUGGUACAGUGGGGGUUAAUAUAAGCAUUUAGUUUGGUACAGCGGGGGUUAAUAUAAGCAUUUAGUUUGGUACAGCGGGGUUAAUAUAAGCAUUUAGUUUGGUACAGCGGGGUUAAUAUAAACCUAGCAUUUAGUUUGGUACAGCGGGGGUUAAUAUAAGCAUUUAGUUUGGUACAGUGGGGGUUAAUAUAAGCAUUUAGUUUGGUACAGCGGGGGUUAAUAUAAGCAUUUAGUUUGGUACAGCGGGGGUUAAUAUAAGCAUUUAGUUUGGUACAGCGGGGGUUAAUAUAAGCAUUUAGUUUGGUACAAUGGGGGUUAAUAUAAGCAUUUAGUUUGGUACAGCAGGGGUUAAUAUAAGCCUAGCAUUUAGUUUGGUACAGCGGGGGUUAAUAUAAGCCUAGCAUUUAGUUUGGUACAGCGGGGUUAAUUUAAGCCUAGCAUUUAGUUUGGUACAGCAGGGGUUAAUAUAAGCAUUUAGUUUGGUACAGCGGGGUUAAUAUAACAUUUAGUUUGGUACAGCGGGGUUUAGCAUUUACCUAGCAUUUAGUUUGGUACAGCGGGGGUUAAUAUAACCAUUUAGUUUGGUACAGCGGGGUUAAUA
ensembl:lncRNA